rnacentral:misc_RNA from 1 species
UUCUUUCUUUUUUUUUUUCCUUUUCCUUAUCGAUUUAACGAAUGACCUGACUCAGUUGGAAUUGAGAAUGCGAAUGUUUUAAUUUUGAACUUGGCUAGUUUUGUUGUUAUCAUGUUCUAAUUGUUGUAGAUGUUGUGGAAAUUUGAAUGCUUUAACUCUGGUUUUUUUCAGUUUUUAUUUUAAGUUGCUUGGAUUUGAUUCGAAGUCCUAGAUAGAUAUAACAGUUAUGCAUGCUUUACCAAUGCUCUCAGUGGUAUUGGAGUCGAUUGAGUCCUGUCGGAGCC